rnacentral:lncRNA from 1 species
GGUAAUUUAAUUGUAACAUUUACUAAACAUAUAUGACUGCUUUUAAAACUUAUAAUAUUUCUAAAAGUAAAUUUUACAGACAUUUAACUAAUUUUCUUCGUAACUGAUUAUUUCCAUAGCAAAGGCGAUAUAGUAUUAUUAAACUGGCACAUAGCUUUUUAUUUGUCUUUUUAAGCCUUUUAUAGUCAAAAUAGGUUUAAACAAAACAAAAAUUUCCUAUUACAUCUAUUAGGCUAAAACCUUCUUCACCAAUUACAUGCAUUUUUUAAAUCUAUCAGGUACAAGUGUUAAAUUUUCAUUUGAUAUGACUACAAUGCGAUAUGCUAACUUAAAUUAUCAUCCUUAAAUCUUAUAACAAUAUCUUAGAAAAUUAUCUAAUUAUUUAAGUUAGCAUAUUUACUCUGAAAAAAAAGCAUCUUCUUCUAGGAUAAUCAUGGUCAUAGUUUAACUUUUUUAAAACUAUAUUUUGGCUAAUUUAUAAAAUUAAAUAGAAAUAUACUAAAUAGUUUUUAGUCAAAUAAGUAAAUUUUGGACGUGAGAUAAAUAAUUUCCAACAAAUAUCAUAAACCAAUUUUUUAAAGAAAAAUAAACACGUUUAUAGAAAGAAAUAAUUUACUUAAUCGUCAGAAGAAUAGAAAGGGAGAUUAAACGCUUAAAGUGACAAGUGCAAAACUAUUAUUGUUUUAUUUUAACCAUAUCCUCAAGCAAGGCCGAUACUCAAAAGAAACGGAAAUAAUGGCAGCGUUUGGUGAAGCUCUUUUUCCCAAAAUUUAAGCAAGAGAAUAUUUUAUUUUAUUUAUUUAUUUAUUUAUUUAUGGCCAUUGUUUAUUAUUAUUUGUCGUUUGUCUGACCCCAGGAAACAGCUACGCUAUGCUACCAAGCUUCUGUUGCUCAAUAGUCAAUACAAUGGCUUAUUAAAAAAAAAGAUCGGCCUCACCAUUGUAUGUAGAAAGUUGCGAGCAAAUCAGGAAUCCAGAAAAUGACAUUUAUUCAUUUUUGUUUGAACGUUUAUUGAGAUUAAUUAUUACUUACAGCUAAUAUAUAUCGUCUACAAGCUUCUACCAUGCAAAAAAAAUAACCCAUGUCUCUUUCUUGAAUCAUCCCUACAAUGAAUUCUUAGGUUAUAGGAGUUAGGCGUGUUUGAUGAUAAGGGGGAUAGUGUGGCCGGCACUAGCAUUCAUGUAUUAUUUGACCACUGUACUCUUGUUAUCAUAUCAUAUCAACUUGCAAUAAGAACAGGGACUUGCAACACAGCUAGCAGCCACGAACUUUAUUUAUCACAUGGUUAAUUAAUUUUUACCUUCAUUAGAAAUGUUUAGACUAAUCUUAAUUACUAUUGCUAAGCUAAGAUUCUUACUUACUUAUCAAAUUAAACUUUUGGGUCAAAUAAUUUUCUCUUAUAUGAUAUGAGAAUUAACAUCUCAAGUUGGUUCAAACUUACUACAAUUAAUGUUAGUUGAUGUUAUAAACAAGCUUUUAAGCUAUCAUAAUUCAUACAAUUAAAACCCUAUUGAUUAAGUAUUAACGAACGACCCCGAGUCUUCAAAAACAUAAAAAAAUAAAAGCAAAUUUUAAGUACGAGAAAUUCUCGCAGCAGCAUGCUGUGAUUGUCCUUUCUGUCAAAGUCACAAGUCUUUUGUCAUUCAAAAUCAGAGUCGAAUCAUUUUGCUUGUUCUAGGGUUUAAAAGACAAACUCAAGCCAGUGAGGCACAGCAUUUCUCUCGGACUCUGCCAGGGGCCCCUUCCCCUUUCCCCCACGUUCGCUUUCCGAAGGCAUUUACCAAUAAACCAUUCGUUGCUCCACGGGAUCAAGUGAAGGUAUUUUCACGGUCUUUGAAUUUUCUUCUUAAGUUAUUGUAGAAGAAUUAUGUUUUAAAUUUAUUUUAGCCACUGAAAUAAUAUAAUUGUUUAACAUCCUAAUUUUAUUAGCAAAAUUUAAAAAAAAACCAACACAGCUGUAACAUUCCAAUUUGAAUUUAGUGUUAUAAAUAGGAAGAUGGCCUGUUUUUUCUAUUGAAAUUAAUAUAUAACACUUAUCUCUU